rnacentral:lncRNA from 13 species
CCAGAAGCCAGAAACUGAAGUGAAAAACCUUAGGAGUCUACCUGGUUCUAUUGCACUGCAGCUGAGCUGGCAUUCAAACCGUGAGAGCAAAACCAAGUGAAGUGUGUUUCUAAUUAAGAACCUGAACCAUUUUGCCAACUUCUGUAAACUGACUAUAGCCAAAGUUCUGCUAAAUACAAGAUUCUCCUGCCACAGCUUCCUGAGUAGCUGGGACUACUGGUGCAUGCCACCACACCCGGCUAAUUUUUGGUAUUUUUAGUAGAGACGGGGUUUCACUGUGUUAGCCAGGAUGGUCUCCAUCUUCUGACCUCAUGAUCUACCUGCCUUGGACUCCCAAAGUGUUGGGAUUACAGGUAUGAGCUGUCAUGCCCAGCCUGAAAUACUGUUAUAAAAAAAGAAAUAUUUGAUCAUUCAGAUUGGCAAACAGAUUUUUUAAAUAAAAUUGUGAUAAAAUACA